rnacentral:lncRNA from 10 species
GGAGGAGCCCCAGGCCGGCGCUUCAAUGGGCGGCAUGUGCCUCUCUCUGGCUCCCAGAUCGUCAAGGGCAAAUUGGCAGGCAAGCGGCACCGCUAUCGAGUCCUCAGCAGCUGUCCCCAAGCUGGAGAAGCGACCCUGCUGGCCCCCUCAACGGAGGCAGGAGGUGGACUCACCUGUGCCUCAGCCCCCCAGGGCACCCUAAGGAUCCUUGAGGGUCCCCAGCAAUCCCUGUCAGGGAGCCCUCUGCAGCCCAUCCCAGCAAGUCCCCCACCACAGAUCCCUCCUGGCCUGAGGCCUCGGUUCUGUGCCUUUGGGGGCAACCCACCAGUCACAGGGCCUAGGUCAGCCUUGGCCCCCAACCUGCUCACCUCAGGGAAGAAGAAAAAGGAGAUGCAGGUGACAGAGGCCCCAGUCACUCAGGAGGCAGUGAAUGGGCACGGGGCCCUGGAGGUGGACAUGGCUUUGGGGUCGCCAGAAAUGGAUGUGCGG